CCUGGUUGAUUCUGCCCGUAGUCAUAUGCUUGUCUCAAAGAUUAAGCCAUGCAUGUCUAAGUAUAAACACGUUAUACUGUGAAACUGCGAAUGGCUCAUUAAAUCAGUUAUAGUUUAUUUGAUGGUUUUUGCUACAUGGAUAACUGUGGUAAUUCUAGAGCUAAUACAUGCGUACAAGCCCCGACUUCUGGAAGGGGUGUAUUUAUUAGAUAAAAAUCAACACUGUUGGUGAAUCAUGAUAACUUCUCGGAUCGCAUGGCCUCGUGCUGGCGAUACUUCAUUCAAAUAUCUGCCCUAUCAACUGUCGAUGGUAGGAUAGAGGCCUACCAUGGUUGCAACGGGUAACGGGGAAUAAGGGUUCGAUUCCGGAGAGGGAGCCUGAGAAACGGCUACCACAUCCAAGGAAGGCAGCAGGCGCGCAAAUUACCCAAUCCCGACACGGGGAGGUAGUGACAAUAUGUAACAAUAUACGGCUUUAUCGUCGUAUAAUUGGAAUGAGUACAAUUUAAAUCCCUUAACGAGGAACAAUUGGAGGGCAAGUCUGGUGCCAGCAGCCGCGGUAAUUCCAGCUCCAAUAGCGUAUAUUAAAGUUGUUGCAGUUAAAAAGCUCGUAGUUGGACCUUGGGCCUGGACGGGCGGUCCGCCUCACGGCGUGUACUGUCUUGCCGGGCCUUUCCUCUUGGUGAUCUGUUGUUU
rnacentral:rRNA from 1 species